rnacentral:rRNA from 1 species
CCUACGGGUGGCAGCAGUGGGGAAUAUUGGGCAAUGGGCGCAAGCCUGACCCAGCAACGCCGCGUGAAGGAAGAAGGCUUUCGGGUUGUAAACUUCUGUCAGCAGGGACGAAGCAAGUGACGGUACCUGAUGAAUAAGCCACGGCUAACUACGUGCCAACAGCCGCGGUAAUACGUAGGGGGCAAGCGUUAUCCGGAUUUACUGGGUGGAAAGGGCGUGUAGGCGGGAAAGCAAGUCAUAUGUGAAAACCAUGGGCUCAACCUGUGGCCUGCAUUUGAAACUGGUUUUCUUGAGUACUGGAGAGGCAGACGGAAUUCCUAGUGUAGCGGUGAAAUGCGUAGAUAUUAGGAGGAACACCAGUGGCGAAGGCGGUCUGCUGGACAGCAACUGACGCUGAGGAGCGAAAGCGUGGGGAGCAAACAGGAUUAGAUACCCGAGUAGUC